rnacentral:lncRNA from 1 species
CUCAUUUCAAAUGUUUAUGGAAGAAGCACUUCAUUGAAAGUAGUGCUGUAAAUAUUCUGCCAUAGGAAUACUGUCUACAUGCUUUCUCAUUCAAGAAUUCGUCAUCACGCAUCACAGGCCGCGUCUUUGACGCCCUGAAUGCAAAGAAUUCAUAGCAGUUAAUUCCCCUUUUUUGACCCUUUUGAGAUGGAACUUUCAUAAAGUUUCUUGGCAGUAGUUUAUUUUGCUUCAAAUAAACUUAUUUGAAAAGUUGUCUCAAGUCAAAUGGAUUCAUCACCUGUCAUGCAUUGACACCUGAUACCCAGACUUAAUUGGUAUUUGUUCUUGCAUUGGCCAAAGUGAAAAUUUUUUUUUUUCUUUUGAAAUCUAGUUUUGAAUAAGUCUGGGUGACCGCACCUAAAAUGCACUUGCACUAUUACUCAGCAGCAGUAACAUGGUAACACUUAAAAUGGUACUCGGGGACCUCCAAAGACUAAACUGACAAGCCUUCAAGGAGCCCAGGGAUGCUGGAAAGUUACCUUUAAAAAUUGAGUCUCUAAAGAAAAAAGAAAAUAAUAAAAAUUGAGUCUCAAGAAGUUGUACUUCAUAUGCACAAGAGAAAUGAGGCCAAGACUCACAGUAAGCUUUUACAUGGAAUGGUAACUUUUAGUUAGACUGAAAAACUUGAAUGUUAGCUAUUAAAACCUUUUAGG